rnacentral:rRNA from 1 species
GGGGUAAACCUGCGAAACUCGAAUGAACGAACGGAGAGAUUCAUCGUCACUCCGCGGCGUGCGCGUGCGCGUUCAAUCGAUGUCCACGCCGCCCGGCCCUCGCGGUCGUCGCGGUGGGGUCACGUCGCGUACGCGUCCCACGUCCGCGGACGGCGUGCACUUCUCUCUCAGUAAACUCUCAAUUGCAUCGCGACCCGUUCGAUGUCGGUCUAAGCGCCGUACGGGAGUCCCGUCGACGCCCCUUAACCGGGGUUCUAUGGGACCGUUUACGGAUCGCCGACCGGCCGUCGGACGGUAUCAUACACGAAACGCGCACGCGUUUAUAACGCGUCCGGCCCGACGCAAGUCAACGUCGUAUCCUACGUAUAACCGCCCGAGUGCGGACGUCGGUGCGGCGCGUCUGUCGUCGCAGCCGUGCAGUAUCGGACCGUGCGCGUCUCAGUCGGCGAUGAUUCAGUUUCGGGCACUCGCAGGACCCGUCUUGAAACACGGACCAAGGAGUCUAGCAUGUAUGCGAGUCAUUGAGAUUAUAUUUAUUAUAAACUGAAAGGCGCAACGAAAGUGAAGGCGUGCGCUAGUCGCGCGCUCAGGGAGGAUGGAGCGUCGAUCUAGGUCGAUCUCUCGCACUCCCGAGGCGUCUCGUUUCCAAUCCGUGAAUGCAGGCGCGCUC